CAGGGAUAAGGCAGAGCGGGACACCAGGUUCUAUCACAUUCUGGUCCAGAUGCUGAGUGAAGUCAAAGAAGUGAAGUCCGGCAAGCAGCAGGAGAGUCUGAAGAAGGUGUACACAUGGUACCUGGCCAACAAACAUGUGCUGUACUCCGGUCCGCACUUUGGUCGGAUCUAUCAGCGCGAGGCAGCACAGGAGGUGCUGAAGAAAGCCACGUCCCCUCGCAGACCAUCCCCCCCCUAGUCGGGACAGCCA